AACGAACUCUGGCAGCGUGCCUAAUCCAUGCAAGUAGAACGCAGUUGCGAACGGGUGAGUAACGCGUAGGUAACUGCCUCAUAGCGAGGGAUCACUAUUGGAAACGAUAGCUAAUACCGCAUACUGUGAGAUGGACCUGCGUUGUAUUAGCUAGUUGGGGAGGUCACGGCUCACAAAGGCGACGAUACUUAGCCGACCUUAGAGGGUGUGCGGGCACCCUGGGUCUGAGAGACGGCCCAGACUCUUACGGGAGGCAGCAGUAGGUAAUCUUCGGGAAUGUACGGAAGUCUUACCGAGAAACGCCGUGUGAGUGAUGAAUGUUUUCGGAUCGUAAAGCUCUGUUGUUAUAGAAGCGUUAACUAACCAGAAAGGGACGGCUAACUACGUGCCAGCAGCCGCGGUAAUUC
rnacentral:rRNA from 1 species